rnacentral:rRNA from 1 species
UCUCGAUGGUAGUGUAUUGGACUACCAUGGCGGUAACGGGUAACGGAGAAUUAGGGUUCGAUUCCGGAGAGGGAGCCUGAGAAACGGCUACCACUUCUACGGAAGGCAGCAGGCGCGUAAAUUACCCAAUCCUGACUCAGGGAGGUAGUGACAAGAAAUAGCGACUCGUGUACACAAGUAUUACGAGAUUGCAAUGAGGUCCAAUUUAAAGCACUUAGUGAGGAACAAUUGGAGGGCAAGUCUGGUGCCAGCAGCCGCGGUAAUUCCAGCUCCAAUAGCGUAUAUUAAAGUUGUUGCAGUUAAAAAGCUCGUAGUUGAACUUCUGACCGGAUUCCUGCUCUUUAAGAGAUUUGUGAGUCUUGGUCAUCCCUCUUGAGUCUUAUUCACGUCCUUUGUUGUGUCGGGAUAGGAUGAAGAGAUUUUACUUUGAAAAAAUUAGAGUGUUUCAAGCAGGCGAUUUGCUGGAAUACAUUAGCAUGGAAUAAUAGAAGAUGACUUUGGAUAUUUUAUUGGUUAUUGUCCAAGGUAAUGAUUAACAGGGACAGUUGGGGGCAUUAGUAUUUAAUUGUCAGAGGUGAAAUUCAUUGAUUAAUUAAAGACUAACUUAUGCGAAAGCAUUUGCCAAGGAUGUUUUCAUUAAUCAAGAACGAAAGUUAGGGGAUCAAAGACGAUCAGAUACCGUC